rnacentral:rRNA from 1 species
AUGAACGCUAGCUACAGGCUUAACACAUGCAAGUCGAGGGGCAGCAGGGCGAUAGCUUGCUAUGCCGCUGGCGACCGGCGCACGGGUGAGCAACGCGUAUCCAACCUUCCGCAUAGUAGGGAAUAGCCCGGCGAAAGUCGGAUUAAUGCCCUAUGUUUUUCCGAUGAGGACAUCUGAGCUGGAACAAAGAUUUAUCGCUAUGCGAUGGGGAUGCGUCUGAUUAGCUUGUCGGCGGGGUAACGGCCCACCGAGGCUACGAUCAGUAGGGGUUCUGAGAGGAAGGUCCCCCACAUUGGUACUGAGACACGGACCAAACUCCUACGGGAGGCAGCAGUGAGGAAUAUUGGUCAAUGGGCGUAGGCCUGAACCAGCCAAGUAGCGUGCAGGAAAGACUGCCCUAUGGGUUGUAAACUGCUUUUAUGCGGGAAUAAAGUCAGGUACGCGUACCUGUUUGCAUGUACCGCAUGAAUAAGGACCGGCUAAUUCCGUGCCAGCAGCUGC